AACGAACGCUGGCGGCAUGCCUAACACAUGCAAGUCGAACGAGACCUUCGGGUCUAGUGGCGCACGGGUGCGUAACGCGUGGGAACCUGCCCUUAGGUUCGGAAUAACUCCCCGAAAGGGGUGCUAAUACCGGAUAAUGUCUUCGGACCAAAGAUUUAUCGCCUUUGGAUGGGCCCGCGUUGGAUUAGCUAGUUGGUAGGGUAAAAGCCUACCAAGGCGACGAUCCAUAGCUGGUCUGAGAGGAUGAUCAGCCACACUGGGACUGAGACACGGCCCAGACUCCUACGGGAGGCAGGAGUGGGGGAUAUUGGAAAAUGGGCGGAAGCCUGAUCCAGCAAUGCCGGGUGAGUUAUGAAGGGCUUAGGGUUGUAAAGCCUUUUUACCCGGGAUGAUAAUGACAGUACCGGGAGAAUAAGCUCCGGCUAACUCCGUG
rnacentral:rRNA from 1 species